UUUACCUAUGGAUUUUAUUACAAUCCUAACGAUAAGUACAUUCAACCUUUUGGCAGCUAUCUCGCUCCAUAGGGGCCUGCCUGCCGAGUCCAACUGACACAGCGACCGUUACAAUUCAAAAAAACUACAUCUGACGAAGGAGAAGAGCGGUCAUUAUCAAACGCUUUCUCAUGGAAAAUUGCAUAUGAUUUAAUUACAUAUUCAUAACAUUGAUUUUUAAAUAUAUUUCCACCUGGGGUGACAGAGGAAGAAAAUAAAUUGUUCAGAACUGCUUGCAAGCAAGAGCUUUCAUCGAGCUGGCAACGUUGUAGCACCCAAAGGUUCAGUGAAAUUGACGUUAAUGUUAGCUAAAACAGCUAACGUUAGCUUUAGCUUGCCAGUUGCCACCAACUACCACCGACUGACCGAGAUGAUCCAGAGAUUCCUCAUAAGAGUUCUUGAGUUUGAAGAGUUCAGUGCUGAGAGAUCUGGCCUCUUUCUGGGAACUCUCCAGCUCAGUCUGAGCCUCUUCAAACUUCUGCUUCCACUCAGCCAGGACCUGUAAACUCAGCAUACAGGAUCCUGUUGGGGAAGCCCUUUCUACAGAUCCUGAUGCCUUCCAGCACACCGUUACAGCGCAGCUGGUGCAUGACCAG